rnacentral:rRNA from 1 species
UACGCAGGGGGCUAGCGUUGCUCGGAAUCACUGGGCGUAAAGGGUGCGUAGGCGGGUCUUUAAGUCAGGGGUGAAAUCCUGGAGCUCAACUCCAGAACUGCCUUUGAUACUGAAGAUCUUGAGUUCGGGAGAGGUGAGUGGAACUGCGAGUGUAGAGGUGAAAUUUGUAGAUAUUCGCAAGAACACCAGUGGCGAAGGCGGCUCACUGGCCCGAUACUGACGCUGAGGCACGAAAGCGUGGGGAGCAAACAGG